GUAUAUCUAAGUACUAAUGGCCUGUCCUUUUGCCAGGCAACAAACAGCCUUGUGAUGCAACUGCACCUGUCUCGGCUACGCGUUACUAUGGAGAUGCUCCAGUUGCUAUGGGUACCAUCACGCUAAUCGCCUAGCAAAGGCAGACAUACAGCAGUCUUCUCAGAGAGCCCAGCUGUUCCUCCCUGUCUCUUGCUAAAGACUGAUUGUCUAGGGCCUGUGAUGGAAUGCUUCUCAACUGAGAUGCGCAAGAACUUCAUUAAUGCUAUUUCAGAAGAUCAUUUUGUGCUCCCUCCUGCAGAACAAACAGCAGACUAGGAAAAGAAUCUGCAGAGAAGUGGACUGCAAAAUUCCUGAAGCCUAUGACACCAUGCCAUCCCUAAUUAACCUCAACUUGCAAUCCAAGGAUAAUUCCUCUUAACUAGGUGGUUAUAAAAGAAACAUUUCUAUACAUUUUUAAAUACGUUUUUGUAGAGUUGAGGAAUGCAUUUCAAACUCAAGCACUGUGUGUUGAUAAAAAUCUAUCUUAGAAAUUUGGUUCUGAUUAUUUGGCUCUCUUUUGGAAUCUAACAUUAGGACACUUUCUUUUAAAAAGUGACAGGCUACUUACCCUCCCUUCCAAUGAUGUAUUUGUAAAAAUGGUACCCAUGACCUUACUGUCUCAAACAAAUGGGCCUGUGAGGAGGAGAAAAUGUCUCUAUGGCUCGCUGCUGUUCUCCUUGAAGAAGCAAACACCAAGUAACCACAACAAAACGAUCACCUGGGAGCACCGUCCACAUGGAGACUGUGAAAGCCAACAGCCAAGUGAGCUUCCACCGGACGUCUGCGGAGACCGGCCUGAGGAAGGGACGACGGAGUCACCGGCUUGACUCCCGCCUGUACUUUUAUCCCCACAAAACGCGACACACAUCGAGAUGUGAAAGCUGUCAGCUUUUCUCUGUCCAUGUUUCUACUCAGGAAGGUGUUAUUUCACCCACUAUGAAGCCUUCUGGAAGCACAUUCCUCCGAAGCUUCAGGAGCGUACCUACUACAUGCCAGGCACCAUGAAGGAUCCAUUUGUGAAUACAAAACAAUACAAAAAGGAGACAGCCCCCCUGAAGCUUGGAUUCUAGAAAGGAAAAAACACACUUAUCAACAUGGCCAGAUUUCUGUUCUAAGCCAGUACUACCCAUUUGUGGGGAGACAUGGACAUUGGAGUCAGAAAGACCUGGUUCCACGUCUUCUUUCAAUUUCCCAGCUGUGUGGACUUGGGCAAAAUGCUUAACUGCUCUGAGCUUCAAAUUUUUCAUCCAUAAAAAUGGGAGUGACUUAGUAACACCUGCUUCACAAGAUUGUUGUGAGGAUUAAAUGAGAUAAUAUUUUGCUUGCUUGGCACAUAGUAACAGCUCAGUAAAUAUCAGCUCUUGAGCCAGGCAUAGUGGCUCAUGCCUGUAAUCCUAGCACUCUGGAAGGUCGAGGUGGGCGGAUCACCUGAGGUCAGGAGUUCAAGACCAGCGUGGCCAAUCUGGUAAAACCCCAUCUCUACUGAAAAUACAAAAUUAGCCAGGCGUGGUGGUACACAUCUGUAAUCCCAGCUACUUGGGAGGCUGAGGCAGGAGAAUCGCUUAAACCUAGGAGGUAGAGGAUGUAGUGAGCCAAGACCAUGCCACUGCACUCCAGCCUGGGCAACAAGAGUGCGAAACUCUAUCUCCAAAAAAAAAAAAUCAGCUCUUGUUAUUAUGACGGUAAAAAAAUAUUAAAUAGUCAGCUUUCCUUGACACUGAGCUCCAGCCAUUCAGUCCCUGCUCUGAUGGAAUAGGUACUUGUCAAAUUGUGAAAUCAUCCCGAUUUCAUCUAAAAAAUAUGUACAUGACUAUUUGUUUUCCAUAUUCUGAUGUUACUUUCCUUGGUCCAAAGGAAGCAUUUUGUCUCAGAUGUGUUAAGUUGGAGGUGGAAAUGGAAGGAUCAAAAUAGAACAAAGCAUGAAGCCUGCCGCUGGCGUCAUGCCAAGAGGGACGUGGGACUUUGAGAAAGCCACUUGCUUUGAGUCAUGUCUAUAUGCACUGAGAGAUGCUGUGGCCAGUCCGGCAGUCCAGGGCUUCCUAGAGAGGUCACUGCCCCAAGGGGCUUACCACCUGCCACCUCCUUCCUUGAGGAGGAGUGGCCCUGCCCUUCACACUGCACGGGGGCAGGACAGGGCAAGAGCCUGACUGAGAGAAUAAAACUGGAGUGGGCAGAGGGAGAUAAGAGAAGGGUGGCUGGGCAGGUGGCUGACACCUGUAAUCCUAACACUCUGAGAGGCCAAGGCAGGCGGAUUACAAGGUCAGGAGUUUGAGAAAUGCCUGACCAACAUGGUGAAACCCUAUCUCUACUAAAAAUACAAAAAUUAGCCAGGCGUUGUGGGCGCCUGUUAUCCCAGCUACUCAGGAGCCUAAGGCAGAAGAAUCACUUGAACCCAGGAGGUAGAGGUUGCAGUGAGCCGAGAUCACGCCAGUGCACUCCAGCCUGGGCAACACAGCAAGACUCUGUCAAA